AACGUAGGAGACGAACGUUAUCCGGAGUUACUGGGCGUAAAGGGCGUGUAGGCGGUUUGUUAAGUCUGGCGUGAAAGCUCUCGGCUAAACCGGGAGAGGUCGUUGGAUACUGGCGAACUAGAGGAUGGUAGAGGCGUGUGGAAUUCCGGGUGUAGUGGUGAAAUGCGUAGAUAUCAGGAGGAACACCGGUGGCGAAGGCGGGUCUCUGGGCCGAUACUGACGCUGAGGAGCGAAAGCGUGGGGAGCGAACAGG
rnacentral:rRNA from 1 species